rnacentral:tRNA from 1 species
GGAGAGGGGCUGAAAUCAGAUAAAAGCGUGUUUUUUGGCUGGCAGCCAGAAGGUCAGGGGUUCAAGUCCCCUAUCCUCCA